AGACCGUCAGACGGUUACCGCGGCUGCUGGCACGGAGUUAGCCGGUGCUUCUUCUGCGAGUAACGUCACAGAUGUAAGGUAUUAACUUACACCCUUUCCUCCUCGCUGAAAGUGCUUUACAACCCGAAGGCCUUCUUCACACACGCGGCAUGGCUGCAUCAGGGUUUCCCCCAUUGUGCAAUAUUCCCCACUGCUGCCUCCCGUAGGAGUCUGGGCCGUGUCUCAGUCCCAGUGUGGCUGAUCAUCCUCUCAGACCAGCUAGGGAUCGUCGCCUAGGUGAGCCUUUACCUCACCUACUAGCUAAUCCCACCUGGGCUUAUCCAUCAGCGCAAGGCCCGAAGGUCCCCUGCUUUCCCCCGUAGGGCGUAUGCGGUAUUAGCAGUCGUUUCCAACUGUUAUCCCCACAAAUGGGCAAAUUCCCAGGCAUUACUCACCCGUCCGCCGCUCGUCAUCUUCAAAAGCAAGCUUUUGAAAUGUUACCGCUCGACUUGCAUGUGUUAGGCCUGCCGCCAGCGUUCAAU
rnacentral:rRNA from 1 species